rnacentral:rRNA from 1 species
GGGCCCGCACAAGCAGCGGAGCGUGUGGUUUAAUUCGAUGCAACGCGCAGAACCUUACCUCGACUUGACAUGCACCUGGUACCAAACUGAAAAGUGAGGGACUCGCAAGAGAGGGUGCACAGAUGCUGCAUGGCUGUCGUCAGCUCGUGCCGUGAGGUGUUGGGUUAAGUCCCGCAACGAGCGCAACCCUUGUCCUUAGUUGCCAUCUCUAAGGAGACCGCCGGUCUAAACCGGAGGAAGGUGGGGAUGAAGUCAAGUCAGCACGGCUCUUACGUCGAGGGCUACACACACGCUACAAUGGCCGGUACAACGGGCUGCGAAGGGGCGACCUGAAGCUAAUCCCACCAAAGCCGGUCUCAGUUCGGAUCGCAGGCUGCAACUCGCCUGCGUGAAGUCGGAGUUGCUAGUAACUGCUGGUCAGCACACAGCAGUGAAUACGUUCCCGGGCCUU